rnacentral:rRNA from 1 species
GACGAACGCUGGCGGCGUGCCUAAUACAUGCAAGUAGAACGCAGUUGCGAACGGGUGAGUAACGCGUAGGUAACUGCCUCAUAGCGGGGGAUAACUAUUGGAAACGAUAGCUAAUACCGCAUACUGUGAGAUGGACCUGCGUUGUAUUAGCUAGUUGGUGAGGUAAAGGCUCACCAAGGCGACGAUACAUAGCCGGCCUGAGAGGGUUGUCGGGCAAACUGGGAAUGAGGCACAGCCCAGACUCCUACGGGAGGCCACAGUAGGGGAACUUCGCCAAUGGGGGGAAAGCUGACCGAGCAAAGCCGCGGGAGUGGAGAAGGUUUUCGGGUCGUAAAGCUCUGUUGUUAGGGAAGCGGUACCUAACCAGAAAGGGACGGCUAACUCCGUGCCAGCCGCCGCGGUAAUAC